UGCGUAGGGGGCAAGCGUUGUCCGGAUUUAUUGGGCGUAAAGAGCGUGUAGGCGGCCAAGCAGGUCCGCUGUGAAAACUCGAGGCUCAACCUCGAGACGUCGGUGGAAACCGUUUGGCUAGAGUCCGGAAGAGGAGAGUGGAAUUCCCGGUGUAGCGGUGAAAUGCGCAGAUAUCGGGAAGAACACCGGUGGCGAAGGCGGGUCUCUGGGCCGUAACUGACGCUGAGGAGCGAAAGCGUGGGGAGCGAACAGG
rnacentral:rRNA from 1 species